AUGGCGCACCUUGGGGGGCUAAUCGCUUCUGCUCUCCUCAAGGUGGUGGGGGAUCAGAUCGGCUCCGUGCUCGGCGGCCAGAUCAAGCUGCAUCGCAACUUCGACAAGGACCUGCGCACGAUGAAGGAGACACUGGAGUGCGUCGAGGCGGUGCUGCUGGACGCCGAGAGGCGGGCCAUCACCGACAACGAGGUCCGCCUGUGGCUGAAGCGGCUCAAGGACGCCAUGUACGCCAUCUCCGACAUGCUUGAUGAUUCCGAAGCAGGGGAGGUCUCCCGCAGGAAGAAAUUGGCUGCUGUGGUCCCUUUUCUCACAACUGUUCACAAGAUUAAAAUGGCUAAUAAGAUGAAGACGAUGAGAGAGCAUGUGGCGGAGAUCACAGCUCAACACAAGGCCUUCAACUUAAUGCCAGGGGCUGGUGCCAAUAAGCAGAAAGUUACCGAUACACGUGUAACAACAUCAUCGACCCUGCAGGCACAGAUCAUUGGGAGGACUGAUGAGGAAGAGAAAAUACUGGCUUCUGUAUCUAAGGGCAUCACAGAACAAAUCACCUUUCUUCCUAUAUAUGGUAAUACGAGUCAAGACACUAACAGGGAGAUGAUACACAUUGCUCUUCAAAAGCUGUUUGCUGAAAAGCAGAAGAUUCUGAUCGUUUUAGAUGAUUUGUGGGAGGGCAGUGAUUUUCUUUUGGAUGAUCUGAAGGCUAUGUUAAUGGUUGAGAAGGCAAGCAAGGUGGUUGUUAUACUAACCACACGGAAUGAAAGCAUUGCAAAGAAAAUGUCAACCAGACCACACAAAUUAGCACCACUGACAAAUGACAUGUGUUGGACUAUAAUAAAGCAAAAGAGUGGCUUUGAAGAAAAAGAUGACAAAGCUAAGCUGGAGCAGAUUGGAAUGGACAUUGCAAUGAAAUGUGGAGGUGUGGGUUUAGCAGCUCAAUCACUUGGGUACAUGUUAAAUUCUAUGCCAACAUCUCCUGAAUGGGAGUCAGUGAGAGACAGUGAUAUUUGGACUCUAUCUGCUUCAGACUCGGAAGAUACACCUUCAAGACAGGUGAUUGCAUCCUUGAGGUUAAGUUAUAGUUCCAGGCCUUCAUAUUUGAAACUGUGCUUUGCCUAUUGUGCAAUCUUUCCAAAAGGUCACAAGAUUGUCAAAGAUGAUCUAAUUCGCCAGUGGAUUUCUCUUGAUUUUAUCAAGCCAACCAGAACAUCCUCCAGUCAUCAGCUCGGCGAGAAAUACAUUACGGAGCUUUUAGGGCUGUCAUUCCUUGAACACUCAAAGUCAUCACUGACUGCUAGAGUGCAUCCUGACGAUGUUACAUUAUUCACCAUGCAUGAUCUUGUGCAUGAUCUAGCCAGAUCGGUAAUGGACGAUGAAAUUCUCGUCGCUAGCAAAGAUGGCAACCUUGGGGGAAGCAACUGCCACUUUGCAUUGCUCGAUGAUUGUAACAAGCGAUUGGAGUCACCCAGGAUAAGAGCACUCCAUUUUAUGGACUCUGCUGAAAUUGGACUUCAUGAUGCUGCAUUUCCAUCUGCUAAGUCCCUACGUGUCUUGGACUUAAGUCAGUGUUGCGUACAUAAGUUGCCAGAUUCUAUUGAUCGAUCAAAACGGUUGAGGUAUCUUAACGCUCCCAGAAUACAUGAUGCAACGAUUCCCAAUAGUAUAACCAGUCUAUCAAAAUUAAAUUACCUCAGUCUCCGUGAUUCUUCUAACAUCUUGACACUGCCACAGUCGAUUGGAGAAAUUGAAGGCCUGAUGUAUCUUGAUUUAUCUGGUUGUUCGGGAAUGAGAGAACUUCCAAAAUCCUUCGGAGAGCUAAAAAAAUUGGUGCAUCUUGAUUUGUCAAAAUGCGUUUGUGUUUGCAAUGUAUCAGAGUUCUUGGGGAGCCUCACAGAACUGCAAUAUUUGAACUUGUCAGGAUGUAGAUCUAUUGGAAAUCUACACGCAUCCUUGGGUGUCCUAUCUGAGCUGCAAUAUUUGAACUUAUCAUUCAGCUCUUAUGUUAAUUGUAGAAAAACGAAAUUAUUCGAUGCCUUCACCAAAGUGGAGCAUUCGAACUUAUCUUCAAGUCACUCUUGCCUCGAACAGCUCCCUGAAGUUUUGGGCAACCUCAAUAAACUCAAGUUUUUAAACCUAUCAGGUUCUUAUUGUCUCAAAGAGUUGUCAUGGUUAUCUGGAAACCAGAAAAGUUUGGUGCAUCUUGAUUUAUCGAAGUGCAGAGAGGUUAAUUAUAUACCGGAAGCUUUUUCUGGAUUUACCAAUCUUCAAUAUUUGAAUCUAUCGGCAUGCCUCCGGUAUAGACUUGACAAGUCACCUGUAUGUCAAAUUGACCGUUUGAUAGACCAUAUUAGUACCCUUUCCAAUCUAGAGCAUUUGGAUUUGUCUAAUAGUGGUGAUGCUAUUUGCUCUUUACCUGAAAGUCUCGGUAACCUUAGAAAGCUGCACACACUGAACCUCUCACACUGCAAUAUUACAAAGAUACCAGAAAGUAUAGGUACGAUUGAUAGUUUGAAGAUGCUAUAUUUUAAGGGAUGCUGGCUUCUUUCUAAUGUACCGCAGCUCAGUGCUAGUUCCAUAUCAUUACCACUUUUUGGCGUGCAUGCUGGUGAUGGUAAAUCGAGCAGCAACCUUGUUCUCCUACAAGGCAUGAAUCCUGUUGAGCUGAAGAUCAUCCAACUUGAAAAAGUGAAGUCGGCGGAAGAAGCUAUGUGUAUAAAGUUGAUGGAAAAGGAAAGACUUCAAGACUUGACUCUCCGGUGGACUGAAGAUGCUCAGAGGUUUGUGGAUGAUGAAGUGUUGUUGGAGAAACUAGAGCCACCGAGCAGUUUAACUACAUUGAUUAUACAAUGGUAUAAUGGUGUCAGUUUUCCAUCCUGGCUCAGCCAACUGCCAAACCUGACAUGGCUAGCUCUCUACGAUAUGAAACAUCUGGAAGAGUGGAGUGCAUCAGACUCCAGUGGUGCGAACGACCUCAGGUUCCCUAUGCUUGAUUGUUUGUAUAUAAAAAGUUGCCCCAAACUGAGGAUGCAAUCGCUUCUUCCAAGAGCUAAACGUUGGUAUAUAAGUAAGAGUGAUAAUGCACUUUCAUCAUGGGGAGAGUGUACUAUGUCAGACACCAGCUCUCCUUCUCUAGUAACUACUGAACUGGCUGUUGCAGACUGCGAGCUGCCUCUGCAUCAGUGGAGACUGCUUGGCCAUCUCUCUGGCCUCACUGAAUUAAGGAUGGAACGGUGUGGUGAUCUGACCGGCACACCAGAGAUAAUCCAACAUCUCUCUUCCCUCAAAGGUCUAAGCCUAACAGGCAAGGAACAUGAAGAACUGCCGAAAUGGUUGGGUGAGCUCACAUCCCUUGAGAGGCUGUGCAUAGAUGCAUACACAGGGAUAAAGGAAUUGGAUGAGAGCAUAAGGAAACUAAGAAAGCUACGAGAGCUAAAACUGUACAACUGUAACAGCAUGUCAUCGUUGCCCCAUUGGCUGACAGAAUUAACCUGUCUCAAUACUCUUGUGAUCAAUUUUUGUGAGGGCAUCAGGUCUUUGCCGGAGGGCAUAGAACAACUCACCAACCUCAAGAAACUGAAAAUUAACUGCCCUCAUUUACAGAGGUAG
rnacentral:rRNA from 1 species